rfam:Pan troglodytes isolate Yerkes chimp pedigree #C0471 (Clint) chromosome 7, whole genome shotgun sequence.
AUCCUCCUAUAGCUCCUCAAUGUGAUGACUGGGUGUUCACACUCAUUGGCGAGAUGUGCCUCUCUCAAACCUUGUUCAGAUGCUGCAGACACAUUACCCAUCAGAUG